rnacentral:rRNA from 1 species
UACGUAGGAGACGAGCGUUGUCCGGAGUUACUGGGCGUAAAGGGUGCGCAGGUGGCGGCGCGCGUGGGGGGUGAAAUCGCCCGGCUUAACUGGGCGGGGGCCUUCCAGACGGUGUGGCUUGAGCAGCGGAGGGGGACGUGGAAUUCCGGGUGGAGCGGUGAAAUGCGUAGAGAUCCGGAGGAACACCGACGGCGCAGGCAGCGUCCUGUCCGCUUGCUGACACUGAGGCACGAAAGCUGGGGGAGCAAACAGG